rnacentral:lncRNA from 1 species
AACAACAAGGAGAAGACUCCAUCUCUUCCUCUCUCAAGACCUUCUCCGCGGCCUUGGCGCUCUCUUCCCUCCUCGUCUCCUCCGCCGCCGCCCCUCCCCCAGCGGCCGCCGACAUCUCCGGCCUCACUCCCUGCAAGGAGUCCAAGGCCUUCGCGAAGCGAGAGAAGCAGUCCAUCAAGAAGCUGGAGGCCUCCCUGAACAAGUACGCGCCCGACUCAGCGCCGGCGCUCGCCAUUAAGGCCUCCAUCGAGAAGACCAAGCGCCGGUUCGAGAACUACGGCAAAUUCGGCCUCCUGUGCGGCUCCGACGGUCUGCCCC